GACAGAGGUGCCAAGCGUUAGGCGGAAUCACUGGGCUUAAAGCGUGUGUAGGCGGAAUUGUAAGUACCUUGUGAAAUCCCACAGCUCAACUGUGGAACUGCUCGGUAUACUGCUUUUCUUGAGCCACUUAGGGGCUGUCGGAACAAAUGGUGGAGCGGUGAAAUGCGUAGAUAUCCGAAGGAACGCCGGUGGCGAAAGCGGCGUGCUGGACACCUUCUGACGCUGAGGCACGAAAGCCAGGGGAGCAAACGGG
rnacentral:rRNA from 1 species